rnacentral:rRNA from 1 species
GAUGAACGCUGACAGAAUGCUUAACACAUGCAAGUCAACUUGAAUUUGGGUUUUUAACUUAGAUUUGGGUGGCGGACGGGUGAGUAACGCGUAAAGAACUUGCCUCACAGCUAGGGACAACAUUUAGAAAUGAAUGCUAAUACCUGAUAUUAUGAUUUUAAGGCAUCUUAGAAUUAUGAAAGCUAUAAGCACUGUGAGAGAGCUUUGCGUCCCAUUAGCUAGUUGGAGAGGUAACAGCUCACCAAGGCGAUGAUGGGUAGCCGGCCUGAGAGGGUGAACGGCCACAAGGGGACUGAGACACGGCCCUUACUCCUACGGGAGGCAGCAGUGGGGAAUAUUGGACAAUGGACCGAGAGUCUGAUCCAGCAAUUCUGUGUGCACGAUGAAGUUUUUCGGAAUGUAAAGUGCUUUCAGUUGGGAAGAAAAAAAUGACGGUACCAACAGAAGAGGUGACGGCUAAAUACGUGCCAGCAGCCGCGGUAAUACGUAUGUCACGAGCGUUAUCCGGAUUUAUUGGGCGUAAAGCGCGUCUAGGUGGUUAUGUAAGUCUGAUGUGAAAAUGCAGGGCUCAACUCUGUAUUGCGUUGGAAACUGUAUAACUAGAGUACUGGAGAGGUAAGCGGAACUACAAGUGUAGAGGUGAAAUUCGUAGAUAUUUGUAGGAAUGCCGAUGGGGAAGCCAGCUUACUGGACAGAUACUGACGCUAAAGCGCGAAAGCGUGGGUAGCAAACAGG